GACGUAGGGCGCGAGCGUUGUCCGGAUUUAUUGGGCGUAAAGAGCUCGUAGGCGGCUUGUUGCGUCAGCUGUGAAAACCCGCAGCUCAACUGUGGGCUUGCAGCUGAUACGGGCAGGCUUGAGUUCGGUAGGGGAGACUGGAAUUCCUGGUGUAGCGGUGAAAUGCGCAGAUAUCAGGAGGAACACCGGUGGCGAAGGCGGCCUUCUGGUCCAGUACUGACACUCAAGUGCGAAAGCGUGGGGAGCAAACAGG
rnacentral:rRNA from 1 species